rnacentral:rRNA from 1 species
GACGGGUAGCCGGCCUGAGAGGGUGACCGGCCACACUGGGACUGAGACACGGCCCAGACUCCUACGGGAGGCAGCAGUGGGGAAUAUUGCACAAUGGGCGCAAGCCUGAUGCAGCGACGCCGCGUGAGGGAUGACGGCCUUCGGGUUGUAAACCUCUUUCAGCACGGAAGAAGCGAAAGUGACGGUACGUGCAGAAGAAGCGCCGGCCAACUACGUGCCAGCAGCCGCGGUAAUACGUAGGGCGCAAGCGUUGUCCGGAAUUAUUGGGCGUAAAGAGCUCGUAGGCGGUUUGUCGCGUCUGGAGUGAAAACCAGGGGCUUAACCCCGGGUGUGCAGUGGGUACGGGCAGACUUGAGUUCAGUAGGGGAGACUGGAAUUCCUGGUGUAGCGGUGAAAUGCGCAGAUAUCAGGAAGAACACCGAUGGCGAAGGCAGGUCUCUGGGAAUUUACUGACGCUGAGGAGCGAAA